UACAAAGGCAGAUCUGUAACAGAGAAAACGUUCUUCGGAGUUUAUCCUCUGUCCACAGACAGUUACUUUUGUUUUCGACAGCUGAACGAUGAAACAAAUAAAAGAACGAGAGAACAGGGUGCCGUCUAGUAGAUUCAGUCAAGUUGGGGAUCGAUUAAGGCAAAAACUUUACAGCGUUAAGUGAUAAAUGGUGUUCACAAUUAUAAAUAAUUAGUAUGAAUGUACUUUGCUAAAUAAAAAAUUUUACUGCU
rnacentral:lncRNA from 1 species